rnacentral:lncRNA from 1 species
GUGGAUUUGUCUAUGCUCCUCGAGAUCUCUGGUCCUUUGAGGAAUGGUCAGCCUGAAUGGAAAAAUGUUUCCAAAGGUGAGUGCGUGGGAUAUCCUGUGCUCUAGGACAAACAGGGAAAAUGUAACAGAGGAUCUUGGCUGGAGGCCCCUUGAUUCACUUCAAGCAGAAGUUGUCUGAGUGUUUUGAAGCCAUCUGAUGUUACAGGAAUACUCCAUCCAGAAAAGCCAGGGAGAAAAUUCAGAAUGCUUUCUUCAGAGCAAGGUUUGAAUUCUUUUCAAUGAAUGCUCAAUAUUUUGUAAUAGUU